rnacentral:rRNA from 1 species
GGGGGAAUAUCGCACAAUGGGGGAAACCCUGAUGCAGCAACGCCGCGUGAGUGAUGACGGCCUUCGGUUGUAAAGCUCUGUCUUCAGGGACGAUAAUGACGGUACCUGAGGAGGAAGCCACGGCUAACUACGUGCCAGCAGCCGCGGUAAUACGUAGGUGGCGAGCGUUAUCCGGAUUUACUGGGCGUAAAGGAUGCGUAGGUGGAAUUUUAAGUGGGAUGUGAAAUACCCGGGCUCAACCUGAGAACUGCAUUCCAAACUGGAAUUCUAGAGUGCAGGAGAGGAAAGCGGAAUUCCUAGUGUAGCGGUGAAAUGCGUAGAGAUUAGGAAGAACACCAGUGGCGAAGGCGGCUUUCUGGACUGUAACUGACACUGAGGCAUGAAAGCGUGGGGAGCAAACAGGAUUAGAUACCCUGGUAGU